GAUGAACGCUGGCGGCGUGCCUAAUACAUGCAAGUCGAGCGAACAGACGAGGAGCUUGCUCCUCUGACGUUAGCGGCGGACGGGUGAGUAACACGUGGAUAACCUACCUAUAAGACUGGGAUAACUUCGGGAAACCGGAGCUAAUACCGGAUAAUAUAUUGAACCGCAUGGUUCAAUAGUGAAAGACGGUUUUGCUGUCACUUAUAGAUGGAUCCGCGCCGCAUUAGCUAGUUGGUAAGGUAACGGCUUACCAAGGCAACGAUGCGUAGCCGACCUGAGAGGGUGUUCGGCCAACCUGGAACUGAGAACCGGCCCAGACUCCUACGGGAGGCAGCGGUAGGGAAUCUUCCGCAAUGGGCGAAAGCCUGACGGAGCAACGCCGCGUGAGGGAUGAAGGUCUUCGGAUCGUAAAACUCUGUUAUUAGGGAGGAACAAAUGUGUAAGUAACUAGGCACGUCUUGACGGUACCUAAUCAGAAAGCCACGGCUAACUACGUG
rnacentral:rRNA from 1 species